rnacentral:lncRNA from 1 species
GUCUGAUUGCAGAUGACAUAUUUUCUAGUUGCUAAAACCAGGGAGUGUAAAAAGAUUAUAGGUUACCGUAAGUAAUGCAAUGCGCAAUAAGUUUUGCAUGUAUUUAAAUCGUGCAGUAAUAAAAAGCUUUGACAUGACAACAUUCUUAAGUUAUUUACAUGAUGGCUGUCCACAUGUAACGGUAGCUAAUGCAUUGUAACGUGUAUGUGAAUAUAAUCGUAUAAGUAUAACUGAUGUAUGAUA